AGCAGUAGCCACGGGAAUACGGAGGGUGCAAGCGUUAAUCGGAAUUACUGGGCGUAAAGCGCACGCAGGCGGUCUGACAAGUCAGAUGUGAAAUCCCCGGGCUUAACCUGGGAACUGCAUUUGAAACUGUCAGGCUGGAGUCUUGUAGAGGGGGGUGGAAUUCCAGGUGUAGCGGUGAAAUGCGUAGAGAUCUGGAGGAAUACCGGUGGCGAAGGCGGCCCCCUGGACAAAGACUGACGCUCAGGUGCGAAAGCGUGGGGAGCAAUCAGGAUUAGAUACCCGAGUAGUCCCUGUCUCUUAUAC
rnacentral:rRNA from 1 species